rnacentral:rRNA from 1 species
GGGUUGUGAGGUUAAGCGACUAAGCGUACACGGUGGAUGCCCUGGCAGUCAGAGGCGAUGAAGGACGUGCUAAUCUGCGAUAAGCGUCGGUAAGGUGAUAUGAACCGUUAUAACCGGCGAUUUCCGAAUGGGGAAACCCAGUGUGUUUCGACACACUAUCAUUACGUGAAUACAUAGCGUAAUGAAGCGAACCGGGGGAACUGAAACAUCUAAGUACCCCGAGGAAAAGAAAUCAACCGAGAUUCCCCCAGUAGCGGCGAGCGAACGGGGAGCAGCCCAGAGUCUGAAUCAGCUUGUGUGUUAGUGGAACGGUCUGGAAAGUCCGACGGUACAGGGUGAUAGUCCCGUACACCAAAAUGCACAGGUUGUGAACUCGAAGAGUAGGGCGGGACACGUGGUAUCCUGUCUGAAUAUGGGGGGACCAUCCUCCAAGGCUAAAUACUCCUGACUGACCGAUAGUGAACCAGUACCGUGAGGGAAAGGCGAAAAGAACCCCGGCGAGGGGAGUGAAAAAGAACCUGAAACCGU